UGGAAACGAGCAUCUGUGGAUCGCACUUUGCUUCGGAUGCUUGGCUCCUGGCUAGAGCCGCGCUGGGGAGAGAGCGGGGAGCCGCGCUAGCACCACACGCAGGCAUGGGAGGAGGAGUGAUUCAUCGUGUUUGCUUUCAUCUUGUAACAAGAUUAAUUCAGUGGAGUUCAACUUCCAGAGAAAAAUGGACCAUUUAUUGUUUCAGAUUCGGGCUUAGGCACAGCAGGUGGACUUUCCAAACUGCCUCAUCUGACGUUUCCUAGAAAUUACUUCUAGGGCUUGCUUACUCUGGUGUCUGCCCUUACCAUAAGUGAGCAUGGAAAGCUGCAAAUCAUUUACUUUUCCUCUGGAGGCACAUGUUCCUGCUGCGCUGGGCAGAUUCAACAGGCAAACCCAUUUUGCCAGAAGUAAUACCAUAUUCCAGAUAAUGAUGUCCUUUGAUCUUUUCAAUGGGAACGGCUGCAGCACACAGGAUCUUCAUUGCCUCCUGCAAGAUCUUCAUUGUGGCAUGUGGGAUCUUCAGUUGCGGCAUGCGAACUGUUAGUUGCGGCAUGUGGGAUCUAGUUCCCUGACCAGGGAUCAAACCUGGGCCCUCUGCCUUGGGAGUGCAGAGUCCUAGCCACUGCACCACCAGGGAAGUCCUAGAAUUUCUGAUAUUUGAAAAUAACUCAGGUUGAUAAAAUUCAGGCAUUUUCUGGGGGUGUGGGUUUGAGAAGGGAUGAGACAGUGGAUGAGUUUGGAUUUAGACUUAUUUAUUUAUAUGCCUCUGGUAUACCCAGGUGGAUAUGACCAGUAUGCACUUAGCAAUGGACCUCAGACAAGAGUUCAGGGCUAAAGGUAGAUAUUUGGAAUGAUCAGCUUUUAAGUAAUGCAUGACACCAUGACAACAGAUGUAAACAUCCAGAGGAGCGAAAGGCUCGUAUUAAGCGCAGUCAGUGUGGCAUGAGCAGCAGGUGAAGAGAAGGGAGGACAGUGGAUUCAAGGAGCCUGGCAGCGAGAAGGUGAGAAGUAGAACUGAGAGCGUUAACCAUGUUUCUCAGGGAGGAGAGGGAGGGGGGAGUUACUCGCAAGGGAGAAAAUGAAGAGGGAAGAGGAUGGGGCCUGUUGAGGGUCUGAGGUUUCCAGGCGGUGGGGAGAGUAUCAGAAGCACCAUGUGAGCCUUGGAGGGGCUACCCGUUCCUUUAGCUGGAAGGGAGGAGGUGAGUGAAAAUGUAACUCAGGAGUAGGAAGGAGAGAAAUGGAGGGAGUUAUCAGUCAUGAUAACUUCCUCUCUCACCCUUUCCCUUCUUCAUGAAGCGGGAGGGGGGGUUAUCUGCUGAGCAUGAAGGGAACAUUGGUAAAGUUUGGGAGCAUCUUUAUAAAUGAAAAUAUGUGGUGUACCUAGAUCUUGUUGAACUCAUAUGUUACAUUUCCAUUUUGGAAUCGAAGUCAUUUUUCACUUCCUUCUGAACCCUAAACCAUCAUGAUCAAGACAACAACUUAUACCAAAAGCCACGGACGCAUGAAGGUCCCAGCACUGCUUGUAAAACUCACCCCAGGAAUUUCUGACCAGCUGAAGGCCUGCCCUGAGAUGUGCAGCUUUGUCUAAGACAACAAAUCUAUGCAGAUCUGAUGGAUGUAAAGACUGAUGGCUGAGUAAUUUAUGUCUUAACUAACCUGAUAAAUUGACUCACUCUUUGAGAAUGUUCUAUCUUCUUUCGAGAUGGAGUAAAAACUCCUUGGGGUAGGGAGGUCCCCUGAGAAAUGUUAGUGUUCCUGAAGUAAUAAUAGGCUAGAAAGCCUUUUAUUGUGGGAUGAGUGUGACAGAAAGAAAGAAACGGAAAGAAAGAAAUGUGAGUCACACAAAAACCUCAUCCCAUGAGCUUCAGCCAUUGUCAUUCAUAUUUAAGAAAAGGUUGUGAGGAAUUUCAAUAUUAGGUAUUUUAUUUGUAUUUUAUGUAAUGUUUAUCAUCGCUGUAUACUUUGGCUUCACCUUGGAUGAAAAGUCAGACAGAUACGAAGUUUCAGCUUCCCCCUCUGCUUUAGCCUACUUGCUGUGACACGAGGCAGAAACUCCUUUAGCAGAGCCCCUGAAGGGAGGGAGGGGGAGGAGACACAGGCUUCCCUGUCUCAGCGGAGCCCUUAGGAUUUGAAGAUGUGCUCUGUUCUCCUUCAGGACUCUUUACCUUUGCCCUGGGUUUCCCAUUUCGGAGCCUGACUUGGAGGAAGCCCAGCGCGGUCUCCCCACACGCAUGCAUCCCCCAGACCUCGGACAAGCUUGCCCGUUCCUGUCCGGGGUUCACGCUGCGCCUCAGGUUUGGGUACAAAGCAGUUUCCAAACCUGAGGCGUGUCCGGCUGGGGCCUGUUCACUGGGGGCCGGUGGCCAACGCUGGGGCCACCAGGGCUGGGGCUCUCCAGGCCCUGCUCACUGGCACAGUCAGUGAUGCACAGGCUGGGGGAGGUGGAGCAAACCGCAGUCUGGGGUGGCUUGGCCCAACCAGCAACACGAGACCUUUACCUGCAGAGUGAACCGAGUGAAGGCGUGAAGGACAAUCAGGAGGAGAAGCGCUGGAAAGAUUUUGCCUUUACUUAAAACGUCCCAGCUUUUCAUUUUAAAAGAAACUUAACCAAUUAGCAUUUGUGAAGCAUUGGUCACUCACGGCUGAUAAAUGCUUUCUGAGACCUGUAGCGCUCACUGCAGGUUUGUAGCAUAGCUGUCGGUGUGAAUGUGCCCUUAGACCUCACCUAGUUUUUCCCUUUCCAGAGCGUGCGUUCCCCUCUGUCACGUCCUGAAUCCUGAUGAACCUCUUGAAAAAAGGAGGUUCUUUUGUACGACACAGACCCUGAGGCUUCUGCCCUCCAGCGCUGACAGAUGUGAGAGAGGCCUUGACCUCUCACCGAGGCUCUGUCUGCUCGCUCUGUCUGCCGCCGAAAGCAGCUAGGAGCAAUCAUAGAUGUGGGGAUGCUGUGUCCCUGGUCAAUGCCAUGACCGCUUGGACGGACCCUUCCUCCUGUGCCUGUGCAUCUUCCUUUCCGUUUGGGGUUUUUUUUUUUUAAGUGUACAAUUUGAUAUUUUUUUCUUAGUAGUAAUGUAUAUAUGGCAAUCCCAAUCUCCCAGUUCAUCCCCCCCCCCCGCCCCCGCUUUCCCCACUUGGUGUCCAUAUGCUUGUUCUCUGCAUCUGUGUCUCUAUUUCUGCCUUGCAAACCGGUUGAUUUGUACCAUUUUUCUAUAGUCCGCAUAUAUGUGUUCAUAUACGAUACUUGUUUUUCUCUUUCUGACUCGCUUCACUCUGUAUGUUUUGUUUUGUUUUUUAAUUGAAGUAUAGUUGAUUUACAAUAUCAUGUUAGUUUCAGGUGUAUAGCACAGCAAUUCGGGGAUACAUAUAAACUCUUCUUCAGAUUCUCUUCCCUUAUAGAUUAUUACAAAAUAUUGAGAAUAGUUCCUUGUACUGUACAGAGGGACCUUGUUGGCCACUUAUUUUAUAUACAGUCGUGUGUCUGUUAAUCCCAACCUCCUAAUUUGUUCCCCCUCCUUCUUUCCUGUUUUUAUCAAGUGUUUUCUGUUUUCUCCUGAAUCUUCAAACACAGUUUGUGUCCUAUUUACUGUUGGAUGUGUGGAGGAUAGUGUUUUCCUGCCUCUGAAGAGCUUAAAAAACAGGCCAUAUCCCUAUUUUUCUGAGAAUUUAGUUCUGCCUCUAAGUAGGGAGAUCAAAAUAGCUUUCUAAUUCUAUGGUCCUUAAGCUUAUCUCCCCUCUUCACUUUGCCAGGUAGCCAACGGGACUCAUGUGCAUUGGGCUCGAGGUAAGAGGGGAGCGAUGAAGUGAAAAUGUUGUUCUGAGUGUGGGUGCCUGGCAAGUGUCUCUGUCCCUGAGCCGCGGAACUGCUAUCGUAAUCUAAGAUCAACAGAAGAAGCAACCCAGGGCCAAGCCCAGGGCAGAAAUCAGGGUCAUGGGUUACAAAUUGAUCUGGGAGUGAAAUUACAAGCCUACCUAAAGCUUUUAUAGGGCUUGAUUCCAGGAAAUAAGGCCAAUAUAUGUCCAAGGUAGCUCAUUUAAAGCCAGAGCUUUCAAAACUUUAACACUCUUUGUUCUCCCUAAGACGUGGUUGGGAACGUGGUGGACAUGGGUGUCGUCUGUGUGUUUUCUGCUCAGUGUCCCUCUUUCCAACUGAAGGCAGUGCCCCACUGUGUGUCAUAUUAAGGAGGUGCAGUGCUCCACCCUGGAUCCAGGGUGGUCCCCCUCCCUACCCCAGACCUUUAGGGUAGGACCCAGGCUCAGCCUGUUAGACCCUCCUCUCUGGGACUUUGAAUAUCGAGGGAGUGAAGCAAACAUUCCAGGAUGGUUCAGAAACCGCUUGCGGUGCUGAUGUCAUGCUGUGGGUAGCAGUGGAGUACCAGCAGGGGCAGACAGUCCUGUGGCGUGACGCUGGCUGUGGUCCCCACUGCCCAUCCUCUCUUGGUGUCCAGCCCAUUUCCUGAGCCUUGGUCUCCAGCCCUCCCACGGGUCCUAUGACGUCUUCCAUAUCCUCCCAAUACACUCCAGCUGAGACACAGUGAGCAGGGCUGUCUUCUGUUGCUUGCAGCCAAGCAUUAGAUUGAGCCAUCGGACGUUGCUGUCCUCACGUGUAAAGAGGUGUUUCCGGUGCUGCUAGUUGGUCUCUGUCUAGAACGGUCUGGCAGCUCGCCUGCUGUGCCUCUCCACAUGAGAGCUGCUGUACUUAGAGAUUUCAAGACAAGUCUAGAGUCAAGGGUUUCUGGCAUGUUACCAAAGUGGACACAACUACUUUGAUGUAGAGAGGAAUUGCAUUGAGUAAGGGCCCCACGUAGCCACCGUCUGCAGGUGUGACUCCCAGGCCACAGACCUCGGUGGCAAGAUAUACCAAGUUUUUUUAUGCAUUUACAUCAACUUAAUUUAACGUCACCUUUUCCUACAUAGCAAAAAAGGAAAUGUAUCCACAGGCAUACCUGAUUGCCCCCAGAACCUCCUCUCCCCAAGGGUUGUUUGGCAGCCCAGGGUCUCACAGCCCCAAGAUAUAGGGGAAGGCCCUCUGGUCUUCAGUCCUGGACUCUCAUGGUGACCUCUGAGACACCCUCUGCCCUAGCCAGUACAGUCCCUUCAAACCUGCUGGCUCGGUUUUCUUCCCCUGUGGCACUUGAAGCAUGGGGACCUUUGGCAAGGCUACUGCUUCAGGUGUAUCAUAAAGCUGAGCCUUUGAACGUCUGGUCACAUCCUUAGGGCAACGUGAUGGAGAUGGCUCUGGUCCCUGAUGCGCGAGGAGCCCGUAGACCUCUGUCCUUCCCUCCUAUCUCCUGGAAUCUUUUAGUUUGAUGAAUAUUCCACUUUCUUCAUGUUUCCUUUACAGGUCCCCCCACUCCCCCCCAUACACAUACCCCACAAAUUAAUCAAUGGCUUAAGCUUUUGAAAACAAAAAUCAAGAAGGAAAAUAUAUUGCGGGAAACUUGUGUUUCAUGCUCUCCCACAAGCACCCUCUGAGACAAGGAAGCACAGAACUUGUUCUUUGCUCGAAUGGUAGAAGGGAGAGAGGGGUCAUUGCAUGGGGUGGGAGGGGAAUAAAAACAAAUGAAUAGGUUAAAAAAAAACAGUCUUGUCAACAGCAUUUAAAAUGCAUGAGGGGAAAAAGAAAAUGGAGGUGCUGAAAGGCUCUCAGCCACCAAAUAGAGGGGUUAAUUGGCUUUGUGUUUGGUGUCAUUCACUAUCUUCUGUGACUCCUUAAAGUUUCCUAACUGAUGCAACCUCAUCUCUAAUAUUCUGGUAUGAAUAAUGUCACUCCCUCCUUUCCCCCUCUAACUUUUUAGAGUCAGGAAUGAGGAGUGUAUCCUGUCUACGUUCUAUAAACCAAGUCAGCAAUUCUAGCUCUAAUUAAUAUGGGACUUCUACUCCAGCUGGAAGCAAAUAUUUGUGUAACAAAUGAAAGAGCAUAGAAUCCACAAUCAAGCAUCUUACUGACCCCUUGUUCCAGCUGUUUCUCUGAAGACAUUCCACUUAUUUUUAUAAUCUCCAAUCUUGGGUGGCAAGACGGCUUGGGUGAGGUACCUCUGCUGACAUGUGAGUCUAGUCAUUUACUGAUACAUUUAAAACGAGCGUAUGCUAAGAUUUUUUAUUCAUUAUAGAUGCUGAUGCCAAGAAGCAGAGAAUCCACAUUUUGGGAAUUUACAGGUCUAAUUCAUUCCACACAUAUGAAAGCUGGAUUCUGGUAAAAUUGAUGAAUCACUAGAAGAGGGAAAGUCAGGUCUUCUUAAGCCCAUAAUCAGGAUUGACUUUGAGUCACAGAAACUCUGAUUCAAAUGGGCUUAAACAAUAGGGGGAUUUAUUUUUCCAUUUCAAGGCCAGAGGUGGUUUGGGUCUAGAAUUGGUUAAUCCAGUGGCUUGGUGACAUCAUGGAAGACCCAGGUUCCAUCCAACUUUCCUCUCUGCCACCCUCUGUGCUCUUCUCUUAUGGUCCCAAGACAGCUGAAGCACUUCCAAGCACCAAAUCCCAGCAGGAUUUCUAGAGUCAGAGGGAAGGAAUGGUUACCUCUUGCCUGUCACUCCUGAAUAGCAAGAGAAUUUCUCCCAGAACUAUGCCUCCACCCAGCAGAUGUAUUCUCACGUCUCAUUAGCUAGAACUGAAUCGAGAACACUGCAUCAGGGCUUGACCCAUGGUGCCCUUCCCAUGGCACCUGGCCAUGGGGACCAGAUCUGGGUUUUCCCAAGAGGAAAGAAUAGAUUCAGACAGGGGAUCAGCAGUGUGUAUCAGGCCAGCUUAUCCCCGUGAGCUAAUAAAUGGCUUAUAAAUGUGUUUUCUGGAAUGUAGUUAGAAGUAAAUAUAUGAUGUUAAUACAUACUCUAUUAACUGCCUUUUCUUUUUUUCCUUUUUGGCCUCGGUUUUAGUUCCCCGACCAGGGAUUGAACCCGGGCCCCUGGCAGUGAGAGUGCAGAGUCCUAACCACUGGACUGCCAGGGAAUUUCCUACUCUAUGAACGGCUAAAUAUUUCAUUUGAACUUUCAUCAACUUUUGGAAGACACAAAAUAAUUUUUCACAAGCACCUUUAAUAAUCUAACUCUCCCUUAACCCAGAUCAUUUUUACUUAUUUCAGAGAUGUCUUAGGAGUCAGGGAGAUGUUGUACGAUCUGGAGACUCCUACUUCUUGAGAGUCAUCCUGAAUUCUCGGAUGUCUUCCCCAGAUCCUUUUCAGAUGCAUCCGGUCAUUGUCGCCACAUCCUGGUCCUUUGCUCGUUGCUGUGCUCUGUGCACACCUGCUCCUCUAGAGAGGACAUCUACUUCUGUGAUGUUGCUAUUACGACCGUUUGAAUUAUGCCCAAAUUUACAUUUUGGUUCUUUCUUUCGGCUGCUAACCUCUCAUUUCUAUAUGACUGAUGGAUGUUUCCAAUCAGAUAUAUUGCUAGUAACUCAGACUCAGUACACUUAAAAUCAUCAUACCUUCCCUCAUCAUCUCCAGUUUUGUUCCCAUCAUUUAAUCAAGGUCAACCAACUCAAAUUCCAUCUUCUUCGUGAAGAACUUUCUGAUUGUCAUCUGUCCAAUAAAAUAAUACGUAUCACUUGCCUGUCAUGGGACUUGACCUAGUGUAGACCCAAGUAUAAGGUGGUGAGCAAGCCCCACAGAGAGAACCUUCCUGUGCGGUGAUGUAUCAGAUAAUGAGGGACCAAUCAUCUCAGCUGAAACUGAUCGCUUGUCUCUGAUCUUCUGAAAUUUUCAUUGUCUAUGUGAUAAAGAUACAGCGAUAACAAAGGUGUACCUUGGAGAUUUGGGCAGGGCGUUGUUCUAAGUGCUUAAAACGUAAUAACUAACUUAACCUUCACAACAACCUUGUGAGGUGGCACUAUUUGCCCUACCCUUUUUACAGAGGAGGAGACCAAGACACAGAGAGGUUAAGAAACUCACUCAGGUUUACAAAGCUAGUAAGUGAUGAGAUUGCUUCCUUGGUAGCCAGGAAAGUAAAAUUAGAAUAAAUUCUAUUUUGAGUAAAAAUAAAAUAUUGAAACUUCAAAUAAUGUGAUUUUUUAAUACACCUACUUUUUCAUUUUCAGUAUGUUCUCAACUGUAUCAAUGUCCCAGAAAAAAAAAUAACAGUUAAAAAUGCAAUGAAACAUCUAGGUAGGGAUGCACAUUUUUUCCUUUUGCUUUGGGCUCCUGUUGCCUUGACACGGGAUUGUUGGAGCCUGUCUGUAUUUAAAUUUUGGCUAUUUUGUGCAUUGUGAGUUUUUUAUAUUAAUUUUGAUUUUUAAAAAUAUUGCAUUAAAAUAUUAUUUAUCUUGAUGACCAAAUUUUUGACACCCUUGUAAAUUUUGCGCCCAAGGUGAGCGCCUGGUCUUGGGUAGAGCUGGGAUUCAAACUGAGGUGACCUGGCUCCAGGUCUGUACUUUUGACCACAGCACAACUCAUGUCCUAGAACUGUUGAUUUUUGUAUCUAUAUCUACAUACCACUGCUCUUUCCAAUUAAACUACAAAUGCCUUGAGGGCAUGGACCACUUAUCAUACUGCCUUCUUGCAUUCCUAAAGCAUCUGGCAUGGUGUUUGUCUGGCAUGUCGCAUGCUUGAUAAAGGUUUGCUACAAGGGGGUCAAAGGAGACUUUUCUAGUGGGCUAAAAUUUACCAUCACCACCAGCCACUUCUGCCACAAUUUGUAGUUUUUUGUUGUUGUUGUUUUUACUGCAAUUUCCCUCUUACGUAUUGUAUUUUAAUUUUAUAAAAAUAAUUAACGGAAUAACCCAUCUCAUAUAAAAUGAUGAAUGAAUACAUGUUAAAAAACAAUAUGAAAAUAAAAUGC